AGAAACCGGCAGUCAGACACUGUCACGGCUGAUUCUGUUUGUUAUAUCAACAGUUGUUCCCCUGAAUCAGUUAGCCCACCUUAAAUGAUGCUCUGGUAAAAAGAGGCUACAGCAGACUCACUUCAUUUCCUGUCUGUCGACUGACCAACAGGCUGAAUCAUGAAAACUGGAGCUGCAUGCAGUUACGUAUAGAAACAGAGAGUAGGUUCAACUAGCCAUACUGCUGACAAAGAGACUGUGGAUUGAUACCAUUUCAUUUGAUCUAUUUGAAUUUGAUUGAGAUUUUUGUUACAGCAGAACUUCAGCAUUUUACAUAUUUGUCUGCUGUUGUGGUUAAUGGGGGAAAAAAACAGUUUCAAGUUCCCUCUCAGACCUGUAGAGGGAGGUCUAUGCAAACUCUUCCCUCCUUAUAACACCAGUAACUCUCAGAACACACAGACCGGCUAAUUCACAACUUUAAUCACCAGUCAAAGAACUACAGUGUCUGUCAGAGAAUGGAAAACACACUUGUCUGGGGUUUAUUAUUUGUAGUUACUGUUCAUGGAGUUUGGAGUGAGAUCAAAAUGGACCAGUCUCCAUCGCAGGUGAAAACACCUGGAGGGACGGUGAAGAUGUCAUGUGUCAUGUCUGGUUUCUCCAUGACAUCGUUCUAUAUAGCCUGGAUACGGCAGAGGCCGGGGGAAGCUUUGGUGUGGAUCGGGCGGAUGAACGCAGGUUCAAACUCUGCCAGCUAUGGCAGCUCAUUUCAAAACCGUUUCAUCAUGACUGAGGAUGUUUCCAGCAGCACUCAGUUCCUUCAGGUCGAGAGUCUGAAAGCAGAUGAUGCUGCUGUUUACUACUGUGCUCGAGACCCACAGUGACUGAGGACAGUGGAGCUGCUGAACAAAAACCUCCACAGAUCACAAGAAGCAAUGUGAUCUCAGUAACAUCUGUUUUCCCAUGAUCAUUAAGUCCUUUACACACUUUACACACCUUUUUACAGGCUUUAUAAAUAUGUAUAGUAUACCAACAUUUAUUAUAGGUCAUUUUUUGUUGUUGUCUUCAUGAUUUCGUUCCAAACAGUCAAAAGCCAUAGAUAUGGCAUUUCCUAAAGUCUGCUGCAGAGAAUCUGUCUGAAGUACAGUUAGUGUUAUCUAGCAAGGUAAGACUAGACUGGAAAUGUCCCCUAUUCAGCUCUGCAACUGAUAAAGAAUUAAAACAUACACUCACACAUUUGCAUGUCUGUGGGGAAAACCAAACCACGACAACAAGGCCUUAUAACUGUGUUUUCAAACGUGGUCAUGAGCAGUGGAGACAAGAUAUUUAGAGGUGAUUUAACGGUUAAGCUUGUAGGACCAGAUUUAUGCAGGUCUACAUCAAACGCGUUUCAUUCCAUUUACAAUCUGCUUAAUGUUUGACACGGAGCAGCAGCUCUGCUUUCCAGGUUCAUUCUGCAAAUGUAGAGGAGUGCAUAAAAUAACUGUGUCUGUGCUGCCAUCUAGAGGUUCCUAUGUGCACUGUCCUCUCUGUGUGAAGAGAAAAACUGUACCUGUACCUCAAGCCUUUCUUCCAUUCAAGAUUCAAUUUUGAGAUGAUAUUUCCAAAUAGCAUUGUGUCAGUGGUGGGAAGGAUCAAUAAAAAAUGCCCUAAAAUAUAAAUACAGAAAUAAAUUAUGCUGUGAAAACACAUGCAGAUUCCUGCUGUAAAUCAUC